rnacentral:rRNA from 1 species
AUUGAACGCUGGCGGCAGGCCUAACACAUGCAAGUCGAGCGAGCGGCGGACGGGUGAGUAAUGUAUGGGGACUGCCCGAUAGAGGGGGAUAACUACUGGAAACGGUGGCUAAUACUGCAUACUAUCGGAUAACCCAUAUGGGAUUAGAUAGUAGGUGGGGGAAAGGCUAACCAGGGCGACGAUCCCUAGCUGGUCUGAGAGGAUGAUCAGCCACACUGGGAUUGAGACACGGCCCAGACUCCGACGGAGGCAGCAGUGGGGAAUAUUGCACAAUGGGCGCAAGCCUGAUGCAGCCAUGCCGCGUGUAUGAAGAAGGUCUUCGGGUUGUAAAGUACUGUCAGCGGGGAGGCGUUACCCGAAGAAGAAGCAACGGCUAACUCCGUGCCAGCAGCCGCGGUAAUAC